GCAACUACCUCUGUGAUCUCACCAAGGCCAACAAUGCCUUCUCAGCCAGCCUCAGGCAGGCAGAGUAGGGAAACCAAACAGGAAAUCUCCUUAUUCCCUAGAAUUCAGGAGCUGAAAACACUUCCUCCCUAAGUUUCAAUAGGCCCAGUGCCCAAGCAGUGCCUGGUGCCACAUAGAAGCUGUAGUCAUCAAUUCCAGGCUCCACUGGGCACUGAUAGGGGACCCAGCUAUUCCCAAGAUGGGUCAGUAUACACAUGGGCUUUGGAGGAAGGGUGAGUCACUUUCUGGCUCUUCCUGAGGAGGGAUUGUGGUAUCCGGCCUGAGGGUAGAAACCAUGUGUCCACUUGGCAACUGUGUCCACCAGGCCACAUCCCAGAGAGCGACCUCAGGGACUUCCACAGAGAUGCUGAGGAGAGCUGUGGACACUGCUCGGGAAAGCGGAGACAGAGCAGAGAGCUCUCCCUCCCCUCCUACCCCUGAAAUGGCCGUUCAUUAGAGUCACCCUUCAUUAGAGUCUCAGGGCUCAGAAAAGAAGGGAAGGAAAGAGUGAAUGACGGCAAGAGGGCCACAACUUUGGUAAACUUACCCCUGGAGCACAGCCUGCGCACAGCUGAAGCAGAGCUAAGUGGGAGGCCACAGGAGGAGAGCAAAGGCCUGUACCCAGAGGUUCGAAGAUUUUGAGAGGUGCUAACAAGUCGGUAAAGCAAGAAGGAAAGGUGGCUAAAGAGUCCUCUUAUCUGCAGGAUUCCCAGCUGCCAAGGAGGAGUAGGAGGAAGUUGGUUGUGCCCAGCUGCUGCCAGCCCAAACUGCAUGACCAAAUGCUCUGGGAACACAGCCUGCUGGGAGAACAGCCCAGAACUGGCACUAUCUUCUGUGCACUGAAAAGAAAAUCCGAACAAUUUCCCAGAUGUAUGUACUUUCAUUUUGGGUAUUUGGUUGCCUCACAUAUUUUUUGUAUAUCUUAACUUAUGUGUAAAGAGCUAUGGGGCCAUAGCAAUAUUAUCAAGAUUGUGCUUGCAUGUUUGGUCAAUGACACUGAUCACCUGCUUUGCUUUCUAUCUGGGCACUGAAGUCCCUCUGCUAUCUUCUACAUCAACAUGCAGAAAAUAUUUUGAAAU